GGGGUCUGGUUUUAUAGUCCCCUCAAGUGAACGUGGGCCGUUGGAUCAAACCGACAUUGAUUGGACGAUUAUCCUUGAUCCUUUAGGUCGGUGGAACAUCGUGUGCGAAAAGAGUUCCGAUUUGAGUACAGAGGGGGGCGGGCGCCCAGGUCCUCAGGGCGGGCGCCCUGGGCCUGGCCCCUUUCGGCCUCUGCUUCGUUCUCGUGGCUUUUGGAGUCUUCUAGAUGGUAGAAAAUUGCGCGGUGCGUUGAUAUCUCUAUGUAAUCCUG
rnacentral:lncRNA from 1 species